ensembl:lncRNA
AUGUGGGAGACUGCUCUUCAGGAGCUGGCGGAGACAGCGCCACUCCUUCCCCUGGAGGAGGGCCAGGUGGAGAAUCCUCAGUUUUCUUUUCUUUCUGUUCCGCCGCUGGUCCAACGGCCGGCGGUACCCACAUUUUCAAUAAAAGAGCAAUUUCCCUUUCCUCCAAGUUGCAAGGCUCGUGGGUUGACAAUGAGUGACGCACUGCCUACUCAUUCUCACCCACGACGCCCCCUUUCGCCAGUGGUCAAGAGGUCGCAGGUCGGAGAUGCAACGCCUCUCCACGCGUCUCUGGCCAGUUCCUCCGGGAACACGGGGAGUUUUGCUGUGAUGACUCAGAAAGCGAUGCUUUCUGGGCCAUCCAACACAUCUCCCCAUCGCUGCACCACUGCGGGUAUGUCGACUGUCCCUUUGGUGCCACUUGUAUGGAGUUUGGGGGCGUGGCUUGCACUGCCCAACCCGUCGCGCUGGCUCAUUCGGACGGUUCAACUCGGUUACGCAAUUCAGUUCACCCGGCGACCUCCCAAGUUCAAUGGUGUUCUCGAGACUUCGGUGGCAGCCCGGUACACCUCUGUCUUGCGCAAGGAGAUUGCUGUCCUGCUGGCGAAGGAUGCAAUCGAGCCGGUCCCUCCAGCCGAGAUGAGGAGCGGGUUUUACAGCCCCUACUUCACCCUACCCAUGAAAAGCGGUGGCCUUCAACCUAUCCUGGAUCUGCGAGUCUUGAAUCGGGCCCUGCACAAGCUCCCGUUCAAGAUGUUGACGCAGAAACGUAUUAUCAAAUGCGUCCAAGCCCAGGAUUGGUUUGCAGCGAUCGACCUGAAGGACGCAUACUUUCAUGUCUCGAUCCUCCCUCGUCACAGACCGUUUCUGCGGUUUGCAUUCAAGGGUCAGGCAUGGCAGUACAAGGUCCCUCCCCUUCGGGCUCUUCGUGUCUUCACGAAGGUCGCCCUUGCCCCACUCUGGGAAGUGGGCAUCGGGAUCCUCAACUAUCUCGAUGACUGGCUCAUUAUGGCCCGGUCCCGAGAGGAGUUGUGCAAUCACAGGGACUUCGUGCUCCGGCACCUCAGUCAGUUGGGGCUUCAGGUCAACCGGAAGAAGAGCAAGCUCUCCCCUGCGCAGAGAAUCUCUUAUCUCGGUAUGGAGUUAGACUCGGUGAGUAUGACGGCACGUCUCACCAGCGAGCGUGCCCAGUCAGUGCUGACCUGCCUGAGUUCCUUCAGAGGCGGGACAGUGGUACCACUGAAACACUUUCAGAGGCUCCUGGGGUAUAUGGCAUCCGCAGCCGCAGUCACGCCGCUCGGGUUGCUUCAUAUGAGGCCACUUCAGCACUGGUUGCACUCCCGAGUCCCGAGAUGGGCAUGGCACAUCGUGUCACCAUUACACCGAUGUGUCACCGCCUAUUCAGCCCCUGGUCGGUCCUUGUCUUUCUACAGGCCGGCGUGUCACAACAGAUGCCUCCAACACGGGCUGGGGCGCGACAUGCAACGGGCAGGCAGCUUCAGGGUCCUGGACAGGACCUCGACUGCUUUGGCACAUCAACUGUCUGGAGUUGCUGGCAGUGCAUCUAGCUUUACGGCGGUUUCGCCCGUUGUUGCUAGACAAGCACGUGUCGGUCCGCUGUUUCGUACAUCAACCGACAAGGCGGUCUACGAUCACGUCGCAUGUCUCAACUCGCCCGCCAUCUCCUCCUCUGGAGUCAGACGCGGCUCAAGUCGCUGCGCGCUAUCCACAUCCCAGGGGAGCUCAAUCGUGCAACCGAUGCGCUCUCAGCUCACUUUCCCCGGGGAAUGGCGACUCCAUCCCCAGACGGUCCAGCUGAUCUGUAGUCGAUUCGGGGAAGCCCAGGUAGACCUGUUUGCUUCCCACUGCCAGCUGUACUAUUCCCUGUCCCAGGCCCCCCUGGGCAUGGAUGCACUGGCACACAGCUGGCCUCGGCCUCUACGCAAGUAUGCGUUUCCCCCAGUGAGCCUGCUCGCACAGACACUGUGCAAGGUCUGGGAGGACGAGGAACGCCUUACUGGCCCACCCGGACCUGGUUUUCGGAACUCAUGCUCCUCGUGA